UGGGGAAUAUUGGACAAUGGGGGGAACCCUGAUCCAGCCAUGCCGCGUGUGUGAAGAAGGCCUUAUGGUUGUAAAGCACUUUAAGCGAGGAGGAGGGUACUGGUAUUAAUACUACCAGCUACUGGACGUUACUCGCAGAAUAAGCACCGGCUAACUCUGUGCCAGCAGCCGCGGUAAUACAGAGGGUGCGAGCGUUAAUCGGAUUUACUGGGCGUAGAGCGUGCGUAGGCGGCUAAUUGAGUCGGAUGUGAAAUCCCCGAGCUUAACUUUGGAAUUGCAUUCGAUACUGGUUAGCUAGAGUGUGGGAGAGGAUGGUAGAAUUCCAGGUGUAGCGGUGAAAUGCGUAGAGAUCUGGAGGAAUACCGAUGGCGAAGGCAGCCAUCUGGCCUAACACUGACGCUGAGGUACGAAAGCAUGGGGAGCAAACAGG
rnacentral:rRNA from 1 species